rnacentral:rRNA from 1 species
UACAGAGGGUGCGAGCGUUAAUCGGAAUUACUGGGCGUAAAGCGCACGUAGGCGGCUUGGUAUGUCGGGUGUGAAAUCCCCGGGCUCAACCCCGAAACUGCAUUCGAUACUGCGUGGCUCGAGUACUGGAGAGGAGACUGGAAUUUACGGUGUAGCAGUGAAAUGCGUAGAUAUCGUAAGGAAGACCAGUGGCGAAGGCGAGUCUCUGGACAGUUACUGACGCUGAGGCACGAAGGCCAGGGGAGCAAACGGG